rnacentral:rRNA from 1 species
GAUGAACGCUGACAGAAUGCUUCACAUGAGUACCUAAUUGGUGUGGCGGACGGGUGAGUAACGCUUAAAGAACUUGCCUCACCGCUAGGGACAACAUUUGGACACGAAUGCUUAUCCCUAAUACUGUGAGAGAGCUUUGCGUCCCAUGAGCUCGUGGGAGAGGUAACGGCUCACCACGGCGAUGAUGGGUAGCCGGCCUGAGAGGGUGAUCGGCCACAAGGUGACUGGGACACGGCCCUUACUCCUACGGGAGGCAGGAGUGGGGGAUAGUGGACGAUUGACCAAAGUCUGAUCCAGCAAUUCUGUGUGCAAGAUGAAGUUGUCGGAAUGUAAAGUGCUUUCAGUUGGGAAGCGGUACCAACAGAAGAAGUGACGGCUAAAUACGUGCCAGCAGCCGCGGUAAUUC